rnacentral:rRNA from 1 species
UACAGAGGGUGCGAGCGUUGUUCGGAAUUACUGGGCGUAAAGCGCACGUAGUCGGCUUUGCAAGUCGGUUGUGAAAUCCCCGGGCUCAACCUGGGAACUGCAUCCGAGACUGCAUUGCUAGAGUAUGGGAGAGGAAAGCGGAAUUUCUGGUGUAGCAGUGAAAUGCGUAGAUAUCAGAAGGAACAUCAGUGGCGAAGGCGGCUUCUGGACCAAUACUGACGAUCAGGUGCGAAAGCGUGGGGAGCAAACAGG